rnacentral:rRNA from 1 species
AAUGAACGCUGGCGGCAGGCCUAACACAUGCAAGUCGAACGAGUGGCGGACGGGUGAGUAAUGUCCUGGAAACCGCCCGAUGGAGGGGGAUAACUACUGGUAACGGUAGCUACUACCGCAUACCAUCGGCUCUGCCCAGAUGGGAUUAGCUAGUAGGUGGGGUAAAGGCUCACCUAGGCGACGAUCCCUAGCUGGUCUGAGAGGAUGACCAGCCACACUAGAGCUGGAACGCGGUCCAGAGUCCUGCGUGAGGGAGCAAUGGGGAAUGGUGCACAGUGGGCGGGAACCUGGUGCAACCGUGCCACGUGUAUUGCGGAAACCUUCGGGUUGUAAAGUACUUUCGGCGGGGAGGCGUUACCCGCAGAAGAAGCACCGGCUAACUCCGUGCCAGCAGCCGCGGUAAUUC